rnacentral:rRNA from 1 species
AUGAAGAAGAUCAACCUGGAGUUCUUCUAUGAUUAUGACGUUGAUGCAAAUAUACGUGUAAGAAAUGUCUUCUGGGCCAACGAAAGUUGCAAAGGAUCGUAUGAACAUUUCAGAAACUUCAUGACAUUCGACACGACAUAUAAAAUGAAUAAGUUCCACAUGCUGUUGGGAGUAUUUGUCGGAGUGAACCCUCAUCUCCAAAGCACGACCUUUGUUGCCGCCCUUAUGCGAGAUGAAACGAUCCCGUUGUUCGAAUGGGUUUUCAAAACAUUCUUGAGGUGCAUGAACUAUAAGCCGCCAAUCUGCAUGUUCACAGGUACAAUACAACACCUGUAUACCUACAUUUGUUUGGUCCACUUCUAUUUCUUCCGUCUUUCUUGCACAUAG